AGUGAACGCUGGCGGUAGGCCUAACACAUGCAAGUCGAACGGCAGCACAGUAAGAGCUUGCUCUUACGGGUGGCGAGUGGCGGACGGGUGAGGAAUACAUCGGAAUCUACUUUUUCGUGGGGGAUAACGUAGGGAAACUUACGCUAAUACCGUAUACGACCUACGGGUGAAAGCAGGGGAUCUUCGGACCUUGCGCGAUUGAAUGAGCCGAUGUCGGAUUAGCUAGUUGGCGGGGUAAAGGCCCACCAAGGCGACGAUCCGUAGCUGGUCUGAGAGGAUGAUCAGCCACACUGGAACUGAGACACGGUCCAGACUCCUACGGGAGGCAGCAGUGGGGAAUAUUGGACAAUGGGCGCAAGCCUGAUCCAGCCAUACCGCGUGGGUGAAGAGGGCCUUCGGGUUGUAAAGCCCUUUUGUUGGGAAAGAAAAGCAGCAGGUUAAUACCCCGCUGUUCUGACGGUACCCAAAGAAUAAGCACCGGCUAACUUCGUG
rnacentral:rRNA from 1 species